CCCCCAAAUACCUGGCGGCAUGCCUUACACAUGCAAGUCGAACGGCAGCACGGACUUCGGUCUGGUGGCGAGUGGCGAACGGGUGAGUAAUAUAUCGGAACAUACCCAGUAGUGGGGGAUAACUAUCCGAAAGGAUAGCUAAUACCGCAUACGAUCUGUGGAUGAAAGCAGGGGAUCUUCGGACCUUGUGCUAUUGGAAUGGCCGAUAUCUGAUUAGCUAGUUGGUAGGGUAAAAGCCUACCAAGGCGACGAUCAGUAGCUGGUCUGAGAGGACGACCAGCCACACUGGAACUGAGACACGGUCCAAGACUCCUACGGGAGGCAGCAGAGGGGAAUUUUGGACAAUGGGGGCAACCCUGAUCCAGCAAUGCCGCGUGAGUGAAGAAGGCCCUCGGGUUGUAAAGCUCUUUUGUCAGGGAAGAAACGGAGUUCUCUAAUAUAGGAUUCUAAUGACGGUACCUGAAGAAUAAGCACCGGCUAACUACGUGCCAGCAGCCGCGGUAAUACGUAGGGUGCAAGCGUUAAUCGGAAUUACUGGGCGUAAAGCGUGCGCAGGCGGUUUUGUAAGUCUGAUGUGAAAUCCCCGGGCUCAACCUGGGAACUGCAUUGGAGACUGCAAGGCUAGAGUGUGUCAGAGGGGGGUAGAAUUCCACGUGUAGCAGUGAAAUGCGUAGAGAUGUGGAGGAAUACCGAUGGCGAAGGCAGCCCCCUGGGAUAACACUGACGCUCAUGCACGAAAGCGUGGGGAGCAAACAGGAUUAGAUACCCUGGUAGUCCACGCCCUAAACGAUGUCUACUAGUUGUCGGGACUUAAUUGUCUUGGUAACGCAGCUAACGCGUGAAGUAGACCGCCUGGGGAGUACGGUCGCAAGAUUAAAACUCAAAGGAAUUGACGGGGACCCGCACAAGCGGUGGAUGAUGUGGAUUAAUUCGAUGCAACGCGAAAAACCUUACCUACCCUUGACAUGGCAGGAAUCCCGAAGAGAUUUGGGAGUGCUCGCAAGAGAACCUGCACACAGGUGCUGCAUGGCUGUCGUCAGCUCGUGUCGUGAGAUGUUGGGUUAAGUCCCGCAACGAGCGCAACCCUUGUCAUUAGUUGGCUUACCGGAAAGGGCCACUCUAAUGAGACUGCCGGUGACAAACCGGAGGAAGGUGGGGAUGACGUCAAGUCCUCAUGGCCCUUAUGGGUAGGGCUUCACACGUCAUACAAUGGUACAUACAGAGGGCCGCCAACCCGCGAGGGGGAGCUAAUCCCAGAAAGUGUAUCGUAGUCCGGAUUGUAGUCUGCAACUCGACUACAUGAAGUUUGGAAUCGCUAGUAAUCGCGAUCACAUUUCCGUAACNUCCGC
rnacentral:rRNA from 1 species